rnacentral:lncRNA from 1 species
AAAUGUUAGAAAAUCUCCUUUUUAGGAAACUUUAAAGGGGAAAAUGACCAUUGGAGAACAUAAGAGGAGCUAAUACAGGAGGGGGAUUGCAAGGGGGAAGUUUCCCCCUUGCGUAGUAUUAAUAAAAAGAUAAACUCCCCGGGGGUUGUUAAGGGGGUGCGGCACCCCCUUAUACACCUAACUCUUAAGAUCUGUCCUUUAAGGGCAAUUCAAUACCCUUAAGCUAUAUAAAAAUAAUAGUUUUUAAUUGCAGAUUUCAAUAUUACAUGCAAAUAUAAGAAGCUAAAUGUUGUUAGCAUAUCAUAUCAAUGUGAAAGUAUCAUUUUAUUCCUAAGUAAAAUUUCUAGUCUUAUAUUAUAUAAUAAAACUAGCAUGAAAUAUAUUCCAUGCGGUAUAAUUGUUAGAAAGAAGAUUUGUUUUACUAAUAAAUCAGAAACUUAGGUUCUUGACAAUAAUUUUUAUUAGGGAAAUGAUUAAGUUACUUAAAUCGACUAUACAAUUAGAACUUUUUUGGUUAUUAUUUCAAUUGUUAUUAACACGCGAC